ensembl:misc_RNA
GGUCUGUUUUGCCUGAACCUAUCAGCUGGGAGAUUAAUCGACCACACUGAAAUAU